rnacentral:lncRNA from 10 species
GCCCCUCCUCCCUCCCAUGGAUUCCAUCACCCACCCAUGGUGGCCACUUCUACAUCUGAAAUCCAUCCUUUGUUUUCCACCUUAUUCCGCUGCUUUUGGCCCUCUUCAUUCCUUGCCUAAGCUUUUGGUUUCUUCCUGAAAAUUCUCCCCAUUUCUGCCAGCAUUUUCUUUCUGAAGACCUUCCUGGCUCCUCGCCUACAGGAAACAAAUGAAAGGCGCUUGCAUGUCAUGCAAGCUCUUUCACCAUCGUGCCCCUGCCCACCUCCUUAGCUUCAUCUCCCAUUGUUCCCCAUGAUAGAACCUAGUUUUUGCCACAUCUUGAAUAUGUUAUGCCCAUUUAAACUUUGAGACCUCCAUGUGCCCUACACAUCGUGCCUCCUUGGUACUUCCCUCACUGGCUGCCUGGUAACUAGUAAACUCCUAGUUACACUAUAGGAUUUAGCAUGCGGGGCCACCUGCAGUUUUCCUAAGCACAGAUUGUCUUUCCUGCUCUGCUUCUCUAGCC